rnacentral:rRNA from 1 species
CCUACGGGAGGCAGCAGUGGGGAAUAUUGCACAAUGGGGGGAACCCUGAUGCAGCAACGCCGCGUGGGUGAAGAAGUACUUCGGUAUGUAAAGCCCUGUCAGCAGGGAAGAAAAUGACGGUACAUGACCAAGAAGCCCCGGCAAACUACGUGCCAGCAGCCGCGGUAAUACGUAGGGGGCAAGCGUUAUCUGGAUUUACUGGGUGUAAAGGGAGCGUAGACGGCAAGGCAAGUCUGGAGUGAAAGCCCGUGGCUCAACCACGGGACUGCUUUGGAAACUGUGUUGCUGGAGUGCAGGAGGGGUAAGCGGAAUUCCUAGUGUAGCGGUGAAAUGCGUAGAUAUUAGGAGGAACACCGGUGGCGAAGGCGGCUUACUGGACUGUAACUGACGUUGAGGCUCGAAGGCGUGGGGAGCAAACAGGAUUAGAUACCCUUGUAGUC